GGGGGAUAAGCUUCAUUGUCAAGAGGGAAACAGCCCAGAUCACCAGAUAAGACCCCAAAAUAACAGCUAAGUGGCAAAGGAUGUGUUGACACAUAGACAACCAGGAGGUUUGCCUAGAAGCAGCCACCCUUUAAAAAGUGCGUAAUAGCUUACUGGUCAAGUGUCUUUGCGCCAAAAAUGAACGGGACUAAGUUGUUUGUCGAUGCUGUGAGAUGAAAUAUCGGUAGAGGAGCGUUCUGUAUUAGGUUGAAGUAAAAUCGAAAGGGUUUAUGGACGAAUCAGAAGUGAGAAUGUCAACUUGAGUAACGAAAAUAUUGGUGAGAAUCCAAUACCCCGAAAACCUAAGGUUUCCUCUAGAAGGCUCGUCCGUGGAGGGUUAGUCAGGACCUAAGGCGAGACCUAACGGUGUAGUCGAUGGAUAACAGGUUAAUAUUCCUGUACUGUCUUUACUUUAGUCAAGAGUGACGGAGAAGGCUAGGCUAGCUGGAUGUUGGUUUCCAGUUUAAGCUUUUAAGGUGUUGAAGAAUGUAAAAUAAUAUAUUCUGAGCUAAGGAGUGAAUACGAAAUACUAAGGUAUUACAAGUAGCUGAUGCCAUACUUCCAAGAAAAGCUCUCGUGACAUAUGGGUAAAGAUACCUGUACCUAAAACUGACACAGGUAGGUAAGCAGAGAAUGCUAAGGGGCGUGAGCUAACUCUCUCUAAGGAACUCGGCAAAAUGACUCUGUAACUUCGGGAGAAGGAGUGCCCUUUAACAAGGGUCGCAGUGACUAGUCCCAUGCAACUGUUUACCAAAAACACAGGUUUCUGCAAAGUCGAAAGACAACAUAUAGAAGCUGACACCUGCCCAGUGCCGGAAGGUUAAGGAAGUGGGUUCAAUGCUCGCGACUCAAGCCCCCGGUGAACGGCGGCGGUAACUAUAACCGUCCUAAGGUAGCGAAAUUCCUUGCCAGGUAAGUUCUGGCCUGCACGAAAGGUGUAAUGAUGUGGGAGCUGUCUCAGAGAGAGGCUCAGUGAAAUAGAACUGACUGUGAAGAUGCGGUCUACCUGGAUUUGGACAGAAAGACCCUAUGCAGCUUUACUGUAGCUUGGAAUUGGUUUUAAACUUUUUUUGCGCAGAAUAGGUGGGAGGCAAUGAAGUUAUUCUUUUGGGAAUAAGUGAGCCAUUAGUGAGAUACCACUCUAAAAGAGUUAGAAAUCUAAUAAUGUUCCUUGAAUCAGGACAUUUGACAGUUUCAGGUGGGCAGUUUAACUGGGGCAGUUACCUCAUAAAAAGUAACUGAGGUGUGCAAAGGUUCUCUCAGGCUAGACGGAAAUUAGCUGUAGAGUGUAAAGGCAUAAGAGAGCUUAACUGCAAGACCUAUAAGUCGAGCAGAAACGAAAGUUGGCCUUAGUGAUCCGAUGAUAUCAAGUGGAAGAGUCAUCGCUCAACAGAUAAAAGUUACGCUAGGGAUAACAGGCUGAUCUGCACCAAGAGUUCACAUCGACGUGCAGGUUUGGCACCUCGAUGUCGGCUUGUCGCAUCCUGUGGCGGAAGCACGUCUCAAGGGUUGGGCUGUUCGCCCAUUAAAGCGGCACAUGAGCUGGGUUCAGAACGUCGUGAGACAGUUCGGUCCAUAUCCGGUCCAGGCGUUAGAGUAUUGAAAGGAUUUUUUGUUAGUACGAGAGGACCAUAAAAAACAUGCCUCUGGUGUACCAGUUCUUGUGCCAACAGGACAUGCUGGGUAGCCACGCAUGCGUGGAUACUGCGGAAAAAACC
rnacentral:rRNA from 1 species